UACGUAGGGUGCAAGCGUUGUCCGGAAUUAUUGGGCGUAAAGGGCUCGUAGGCGGUCCAUCGCGUCGGGAGUGAAAAGCUGGGGCUUAACCCCAGUCCUGCUUCCGAUACGGGUGGACUAGAGGUAGGUAGGGGAGAUCGGAAUUCCUGGUGUAGCGGUGAAAUGACGCAGAUAUCUGGAGGAACACCGGUGGCGAAGGCGGCAUCCUGGACCGAUACUGACGCUGAGGAGCGAAAGCCAGGGGAGCAAACGGG
rnacentral:rRNA from 1 species